AGGAACGUAUGAAACCUUUUUUCUACAAAUAUUGAGAUUUCAGAAAAAUAGCUAAAUAAGAUAAAUGUUUUAAAUAUGUUUUUGAUAACAAGAAUUAAUAAAGUCACUGGUACAGUUUUGCAGUGUGCCAACCCACAUUUUGUUUUCUUAGGUGUGUUUCCAUUGUAGAAAACCUGGUCAUGGAAUUGCAGAUUGCCCUGCUGCCCUUGAAAAUCAAGACAUGGGCACUGGGAUAUGUUACAGGUGUGGGUCCACAGAGCACGAAAUAACCAAGUGUAAGGCUAAAGUAGACCCGGCUCUUGGCGAAUUUCCUUUUGCAAAAUGUUUUGUUUGUGGAGAAAUGGGGCACCUGUCUAGAUCUUGUCCUGAUAAUCCCAAAGGACUCUAUGCUGAUGGUGGUGGUUGCAAACUUUGUGGCUCUGUGGAACAUUUAAAGAAAGACUGCCCUGAAAGUCAGAAUUCAGAGCGAAUGGUCACAGUUGGUCGCUGGGCAAAGGGAAUGAGUGCAGACUAUGAAGAAAUUUUGGAUGCACCU
rnacentral:sRNA from 1 species